ACCCCGGCGAGAGCCAGGAUGGGCUCCGCAUCUCAAGUGGCUCCCUGGGAGAGGCCAGACGGUGCCCUCCGCCAGGAGCUCGGCGGCAGGAGGUGGAGGGCGUUGGGAAAGCCACUGCUCUGCCCACAGCUGGUGCCAGGAUGGGGCAGGGAUUUUUCUCUUGGGGGAGUUUCCUCCCACUCCAUCGACAGGUCGUUCUGAUUUGCCCUCGUUAGUGAAAGGGGAAUCAGACCCUAAAAGGGCUCUGAGAGGUGCAGGUGAUGGUUCUGGUCCCUCGCACUGCCAGCUCUGGGUGCUUGUGGCAAAGAGGGGAUGAGCCCUCUGUAGACGUGUGUCCUCUGUGCUGGUGGCGGGGGACAGAGGGACGCCUCGGAUGGACAGAGGGACACCUCAGAUGGACAGACAGGGCUGCAGCGGGGCAUCUCCUGGCAUUUUUCUGACCUCGGUAUGGGCGAGGGUGGCUGCGGACGCUCUGGCUGGCUGAGGGCAUUUCCCUGCUGUGGGCACAGAUGUUCUGCAACCAGCCCCCUGGAAGGCUUUGGGAUCGCACCAAACCAGCAAUAAUUCCCUUCAGACAGACCCCUCCUGCCUGCAGCACCCUCCUGGCGAGGCGCAGCAAGGUUCCCCGGCACGGCAGCUCCCUGCCAGGCUUCUGGAACAGCCAGAGGUAAAAGCGGAUCUCGUGCAGCUCUUCAAUCAAACGUUUCAGUGCCUCAAGAGCUGGAAAGGAUUUGGGGAAUGCGGCUGGGUUGUUUGCAAACUUCUCCGGGCUCCAGGCACCCUCCCAGCUCUCCUUCCUCCAAGACCAAAGGGAACCCGAGCCGGGAGCCCUGCAGCCGGGAGCUUCACCCCAAUACAGGGCUGGGACCGGGCACAGGAGCCAGAGCCGGUGGCCACAUCCAGGAUAUUUGGGCUGGGUCCCAGCUGGAGGAAGGAUCUGCAGCAAAGCCCAGGGCACGGGGAAGUGGGAGCCACCUCCCUGCUGAGCUCUGUGGGACGCAGCAGCCCGUGGUUAGGGCUGGGCCCUCUGGAGCUGACCUCGGGUGGUGUCCCAGCCUCCGAAAGAUCUUCAGCGGCUCCGAGGGUGAUGCCUCCUUUGGAAACAGCAACCUGAAAUUACAGCAAGGCCACAAACGCAUCCGCUAGGGAGCACGGGGCGGGCUGGUGGCGGGAUAGCCAGCUCCCAGCUGGGGCAGGGAUGCGAGGAAGAGCCAGGAGCUAUUUCAGCUCCCCGUGCCACCCCCUUCCUCGCGCUGCUCCAGCUCGAGUGCUAACGAAUGCUUCACGGGGAGCGGUGCCAGCGAUGCUCAGCACAGGAGCAGCUCCUCGCCCUGCCCCGUGCAGGGAAAUCCCUUUGAUGAAUUCCUUGAUGGGGCUGGAGGGGGAAGGAAGAGGGGUGGGCACGAGCGCAGCCUGUGCCAGGAGCAACGAGCUGCUUCGCUGAGCCCUGGCUGGCUGCGCCACGUCCUGCUGCUGCUUUUUGGUGGUUGCUGUCGGAUCUGAUAAUUGCAGCAGGCUGGCUUGUCUCCUCCCUGCUGGAAAGGGGCUGCCCUAAUCUCUGCCUCCGUGCACACAGAGCAAGGCUGGAUCCUGUAGGGCUGGAUCCUGGGGAAGGCUGGGGAACAGUUGGUAAGGAGAGGCUGGAAGAGGAGGAAAAACCCCGCUGGAGCUGGGCAAAGAUGCUCAGCCCUGGGGAAGGAGCUGGAAGAAGGAGCAGGGUGUAUAAAGGACAGAGCAUAGGGUUUGACGAGCGUCCUGUUGUGCUCCCCGUGCCCCCUUUCCUCCCUCCGGCACAAAGCGAGAGGCAGGGCGGGCAGCCUGACGUGGGAAGAGCAGCCUCUGGUAGCCACCGGGGUAUUUUCCGGCGGCAGGGAGGCUCCGAGCAGUGAUGCCGAGGCCGCUCUGUGUUGUCAUCCGUGACGCAGAUGUGUCACCGUCCCCCGGGGUCCCCGUGCAGCAGCCGGUGCCAGCUCCUGCCGGCGCGGCCGUCUCCGACCCCGCAAACGCAGGAACCUGGGGAUGGAGCAUCUGUGCCUGCAGCAGGGAGCUGGCUGCAGACCCUGCCACGGAUGUCCUGAGAAGUGCUGCGGGCAUGGAUUGGGGACAGAAAUCCCUGCCUGGCCUGGAAAGGGGCCUGUAGGGACUCUCAGGUUUAGGGGAGGUGGCGGUGGCCGCACUGGCUCUGCCUCCCCCUUCCACGCCCCUCUGUCAGCACAGAGUUUUGAUGCCGAAAGCCCCGUAAUUCGCUCCUGAUGCAAAUCCUGCCUCGCCCUGGGUUUUGCUCGGGUUGCGGCAGCCCCAGGAUAGGCACCAAGGAGGGAGCUGGUGGGGCAGGAAGAGCUGGGAAAUCCGGGGGAAGAAACAAGGGGUUGGGGUUAAGACCCCAGAUCAGGGGAUGGAGCAUCUGCUCCCAGCCUCAGCAAGCUGCUUCUGUCCUUUGUAGCCCUCCCUGAGGCUGCUGAGCUGGAACUCCACCGAUUCUCUGUCCUCUGCCCCUGUCUGGUGCCCAGGGCUUCUCCAGAGCCCUCGCUCCUGCCUUUCCCCCACAGCCUCCCUGCGAAAACGCUUCCCUCAGAGCUUAAAAAAAAAUAAAAAAAAAAAAAAAGAAGAAGAAACAGCCCCCUUGUUCUGCUGUGAUGAACUGGCUCUUUUUCCAGUCACAAGGGCGAGCUGAAGCAAAACUUUCCAUGCUGAGCAGGAACAGAAAGAGAGAGGGAGAAGUAACGAACCCUCCUUUUAAAAGGAAAAAAAAAAAAAAAGGCAACAAAAGCCAGCAAAAGCGGGCGCUUCCUUUCCCCCAUCUCCCUCCUUUUUGGAACAAGGCAGCGAGCUUGCAAAGUGCGUUUUAAGCAGGAGCAGAUGCGGGCGU